CCACCCCGGAUGUGCAGACGCGGGAGUCACGCUGACGCGCGCGCCAGGAAUGAAUUCUUGCGUGUAAUGCAUCCUGACCGGAUGCAAUGAGUUAUGCUAGGGCUCCGGGAUAGAGGAUUGGAAGAGGUGUAAUGGGGAAAUGCGAAAUCCUCGGGAUUGUAAUUGUUCUCACAACCCCUGACUACAAGGACCAUGACGGGUAAACACUGGAAGCAGCCACGACAGUGCAGUUGAAGACCUGAUGACGAAUGACUUCCAGAACUGAUUCAGAAAGCAGAAAGAAUGAUGAGGCCAUAAAGGACAAGGAAAGAAUAAAGAACUGUUCCAGAAUAAAGGCAACAACAAAGAUGAGACAAAUACGUGCUGCAGAGGACCUUGGACUGGGCCCUGGACCACAGUUUUCUUCUUUGCUCUAGUGAUGAGUGGUGGGGUUUUAACAAGGUGGGCUGAAUAGCAGCACUGCAUCAGUGCACCUAUUUCUGCUUUAGAUGCCUACACUAUCGUCUGUAGGACAGUACUUUCAUGUUAGGAGACAGUAAACAAUUUAGGGGUAACAGUGACCAUGUAUGGUGUUUACUCCCAAGUGAGACAUAAUUUUAAAAAGUUUGUAUGUGUCCACAUGCACAGAUUUUAUGUAGACAGGUACAAGCUAUAUAAACAAGGUCAGGAAAGCCGGGAUACAGCGAACAGCAAUGAGGGAACCUGAAUAAAAGCUAGAAAAGAGUUCUUUGUGCUACUCUAUCACAUUGCCUGUAAGUCUAAAGUUAUUCCAGAAAUGUUUUACUGCUGAAGGAGGUAACACUGCCAGAAACACAAGGCAGAACUAGCUGCAGCAGUGCACAUCAUAUGUCCAUGCUGUCUCUCCUCUUCGAAUGCAACGGCUUUACUGGCAGUCAUCUAGGACACCAUGUGAUUGCCCCUAAGAACAGGCCUCUGCUUUAGGGUGAUCAACUCCUAUUGGGCCUCAUGUUAAAUCAGAGAAUUACAUAAUUUGCAAACUAGACAAAAGAUAAAAAUUCCAAGUUCUGUUACCCUCUGUAACACCUAAUUAUUGCGAGACCAGAAUAUCACACUUGUAAAAUUAUUGCUAAAAUAUCUCUAAUUAUUUUCAAUGCAAGUUAAAAUAAUUUCAAAGUUAUAUUUUCCUUUAACUGGAUCAUUAGUAAGUGGUAAAUAUUGACAACUGAAAGUAAAGCUUAUUUAUCACUGGAAAGAAUCCUAUACAUUUUGAUGAAACUGUAUAAGGGAACUGUACAUGCUGCUAGAAAACUUUAUUAAAAGGAUACUCACCUAUAA